CUGCUCACUUUGGCAGCACGUGUACUGAAAUUGGAGUAGUACCGAGAAGAUUAGCACGGCCCCUGCGCAAGGAGGGACGUGACUUAGGUGACUUGGAUGUUCCUU